GUCUGGCGGAGCUUCCCCGCAAGUUACUCAAGUAAGCUACGGAGAGAGGAGAAGGGCAGGAUUUCCUACGCAUCUCAACUACACAGAAUCGUACACUGAAGCAGCAGGGUGAUAAGGGCUGGCUUCAGCCAGUUUCCCUACAUAGACCGUGAGAAAAAGGUCCAUACACAUCGGAAGUGAGCAGUCGCGGGACACCAAGCAACGAGGCGCAGGUGCCUAGAGCAGGGAACUUUCUCAGGGCCUCCACGAUUCUCCACGCACCUCAUUAGCGACCACACUCGAGCCACCAUGGUUGGUCUCCCGCUUCACUCGCCGCGCAAGGACACCCAAUUCGCCCGCCGCUUCCGGUCGGUGUCGCUGCUGAGACUCCUGGGAAAUGUAGUGGCCGCUCUCAGCCGCAAUGGACUCCGGGAGCCGCAGUAGCAGCGUUAGACUCUGUAUAACAAGGUCCGUGGCUGCCGCAACUCUUUCUGGGAAAUGUAUUAGGCGGAAGACCAAAGAAGGUCUAGGCCGCGAAGUCUCCUGGGAAAUGUAGUCUGGAAGAACGACGGACAAGAGCCCUCGGAAGACACUGGUAGGAUUUCCCGCGCCCGCGCGGAGAAUUGAGUGUCCUUAAGGUGAAGCAAGCCUAAGUGAUGGUUACCACGGCAACGCGAGGGCUGGAUUGUUCCAGAAAAGCGGGUCUUUAGUUCACGCGAGCGGUUAGGGGUGUGGCUUUAACCUAGGAGGUGUGGAGAGGCUUCAAAUAGUCUGUAGGAUGGACGCCUGCUGAAGUUGUUGACUUCGCAAGGCGCCGAGGGUCCCUGCCCCAUAGGAGUCUUGGGGUCGUGUGAGAACGGUUUGGCAGUGGGUGGUCUGUAGUACAAGAAGCUACACUGGGUGAGGCAGGAGAGGCUAGAGGCCAACACCACAAAGAGGGCGAUGGGGUGAAGAUCAUGUAGAUCCCUGUUCUGUUGCAAGGCUGACAGAGCGUGGAGUGUGGGAAGCUGAGGCAAGAGAGGAGGCUGGAAGUACAGUUAUGUAUUCAGCAGACUGCCUGCAUGUAUGCCAGCAGACAAAAAGGAGAUACCAGAUCCCAUUGUAAAUGGUUAUGAGCUACCAUGUGGUUACUGGGAAUUGAACUCAGGACCUCUGGACAAGCAGACAGUGCUCUUAAUCGCUGAGCCAUCUCUACAGCGCCCAUUCCUCUCAAAAGCACCUUUAUUGUCAGAGAUUAAAUUACUUCAACAGCCAACAAUAGUGAGAGGUGGUAUUCCAACUCUUAAAAA